GAAACGACUGCUAAGACUGGAUAGGAAAUAAAAAGGCAUCUUUUUGUUUUUAAAAGACCUUCUUCGGAGGGUAUGCUUAAAGAGGGGCUUGCGCCACAUUAGUUAGUUGGUGGGGUAAAGGCUUACCAAGAUUAUGAUGUGUAGCUGGACUGAGAGGUUGAACAGCCACAUUGGGACUGAGACACGGCCCAAACUCCUACGGGAGGCAGCAGUAGGGAAUUUUCGGCAAUGGAGGAAACUCUGACCGAGCGACGCCGCGUGAACGAUGAAGUAUUUCGGUAUGUAAAGUUCUUUUAUUGAAGAAGAAGAAAUAGUGGAAAAACUAUCUUGACGUUAUUCAAUGAAUAAGCCCCGGCUAACUAUGUGCCAGCAGCCGCGGUAAGACAUAGGGGGCGAGCGUUAUCCGGAAUUAUUGGGCGUAAAGGGUGCGUAGGCGGUUAGAUAAGUCUAUAAUUUAAAUUCAGCGCUUAACGCUGUCUUGUUAUAGAAACUGUCUUGACUAGAGUGAGAUAGAGGCAAGCGGAAUUCCAUGUGUAGCGGUAAAAUGUGUAAAUAUAUGGAGGAACACCAGAGCCGUAGGCGGCUUGCUGGGUCUUUACUGACGCUGAGGCACGAAAGCGUGGGGAGCAAACAGGAUUAGAUACCCUGGUAGUCCACGCUGUAAACGAUGAGUACUAGGUGUCGGGGCAACUCGGUACUGAAGUUAACACAUUAAGUACUCCGCCUGAGUAGUACGUACGCAAGUAUGAAACUUAAAGGAAUUGACGGGACUCCGCACAAGCGGUGGAUCAUGUUGUUUAAUUCGAAGAUACACGAAAAACCUUACCAGGUCUUGACAUACUCUGCAAAGCUAUAGAAAUAUAGUGGAGGUUAUCAGGGAUACAGGUGGUGCAUGGUUGUCGUCAGUUCGUGUCGUGAGAUGUUAGGUUAAGUCCUAAAACGAACGCAACCCCUGUCGUUAGUUGCCAGCACGUAAUGGUGGGGACUCUAGCGAGACUGCCAAUUAAACAUUGGAGGAAGGUGGGGAUAACGUCAAAUCAUCAUGCCCCUUAUGAUCUGGGCUACAAACGUGAUACAAUGGCUGUUACAAAGAGUAGCUGAAACGCGAGUUUUUAGCCAAUCUCAAAAAGACAGUCUCAGUCCGGAUUGAAGUCUGCAACUCGACUUCAUGAAGCUGGAAUCGCUAGUAAUCGCGAAUCAGCAUGUCGCGGUGAAUACGUUCGCGGGGUUUGUACACACCGCCCGUCA
rnacentral:rRNA from 1 species